rnacentral:rRNA from 1 species
UACGUAGGAGACGAGCGUUGUCCGGAAUUACUGGGCGUAAAGCGCGUGUAGGCGGAUGGGCAAGUCUGCUGUGAAAGCUCCUGGCUUAACCGGGAGUGGUCGGUGGAAACUGCUCGUCUGGAGGACGGUAGAGGUAGGUAGAAUUCCCGGUGUAGUGGUGAAAUGCGUAGAGAUCGGGAGGAAUACCUGUGGCGAAGGCGGCCUACUGGGCCGGACCUGACGCUGAGACGCGAAGGCGUGGGGGGCGAACGGG